AAUCAACGCUGGCGGCGCGCUUAACACAUGCAAGUCGAACGGGAGACUCCUCUUCGGAGGGGAUCUAGUGGCGAACGGGUGAGUAACACGUGGGUUACCUGCCCUCGAGUGGGAACUAACUCUGGGAAACCGGAGCUAAUACCGCAUAUAACCUCCGGGUGAAAGGCGUUCGGCCGCUCGAGGAUGGGCCCGCGGUCGAUUAGCUAGUUGGUGGGGUAAUGGCCCUACCCAAGGCACCGAGUCGAUGAGCCGGCCUGAGAGGGCACACGGCCACACUGGCACUGAGACACGGGCCAGACUCCUACGGGAGGCAGCAGUGGGGAAUCUUGGACAAUGGGCGAAAGCCUGAUCCAGCGACGCCGCGUGACCGAUGAAGGCCCUCGGGUCGUAAAGGUCUUUCAGCGGGGACAAUAAUGAUGGUACCCGCAGAAGCAGGAGCGGCUAACUACGUGCCAGCAGCCGCGGUAAUACGUAGGCUCCAAGCGUUGUUCGGAAUUACUGGGCGUAAAGCGAGUGUAGGCGGUCUGCCAAGUCGAUUGUGAAAUCUCCCGGCUCAACCGGGAGGGUGCGGUCGAAACUGACAGACUCGAGUUCGGGAGAGGAGAGUGGAAUUCCUGGUGUAGCGGUGAAAUGCGUAGAUAUCAGGGAGGAACAUCGGUGGUGAAGACGGCUCUCUGGACCGAUA
rnacentral:rRNA from 1 species